AUCCCUCCAAAAACUUAAAGAUAUUUAUGAAUUAAUAAUUCAUUGUAUUUUUUAAACCUUUUUAAAAUGACAAAACCAAACAAUGAAUAAACAGAUAAAUUUAAUAAAUAAAGUUUUAAAAAUAUAUAUUUUUAUUUUUACUUCAUGAUUACCACAUGAGUUUUUUAUUUAUUUAUUUUUAUUUUAUAUAUUUAUUUAUUUUAUUUUUUGCUGCAGAAAAUUACACAGAGGUUUUUGUUUUUAAAACCAUACAAAACCUACUUGAAAAUAAACAUACUGGCACAUGCAUUUUAAACUUUUUGUCCCAUUUAUUGACCCACUUUUGAAAUGUGGUGAUAUUUAAUGCUAAAAACUCAUAUUAGAAUGACACGUCACAUUUUACGGCUUAUUGAGGAAAGGUGCAUUAUUACUUUUCUAACCUGUCUGAUUUUUUAAGAUGAUAAAAUGGGUUAAAAAAAAUCCCCAUAUCUAGCCAUAUAAAAAAGAAUAUCAUAGACACUUGGGUGUGUUUUUAUGUUUCUUUUUUUUCACUCGGCCAGUAAGCAAGCAACUAGAAUCCACCCAGAACAUUCUAGCAACUGCAUAGCAACACCUUGGCAACCAUCCUAUGGCAACACCCUCAUGGACGCCCUGUGCACGGGCAAGCAAGCUUUGUGAUAUUUGUGAAAUCCCCAUACACUGACUCUUUUGUGAUCCACUGCACUGUAUUCAGGUGAUGAACUGAGCUCUGAGGCAGAGCGUGUAACAAAUCCUCUGUCAGUGUAUUCUUCUAACACAACAGGAUAUGAUGUUACUCUAUGUCCAGAGCUCUUAUUACUCUUUGUGCGCAGGAUUAAGAUCGGCACAAUGACUACAUAAAAGCACAGAUAAGACGAGUUUGUGAAGGCAAAAGUGCUCAGGUUACACAUUACACACAUGAUUAGGCUUCAGGCUCCUGCUAGUUUUUCGUCAUACUCUGGACUACAAGUGUACUACAGUAAAACCAACUAGAUUUUCAGCUUUCUGAAGGUUUUAAGGUGUUUUGGUUGGUUCCCAGGGUGUUAUGAAGUUCUGAGUGGUUUAUAAGGCAAUAAUUGAUGGUUGCUUACUGGUCCAAGUGCUGGUCUCAAGAUAUGGCUUGGGUCUCUUCUUCAACAUAAUUCAAUUGGAUUUCUUCACAAGUUUUAUCAUAUGCCAGACACAAAUUGUACAUUUCAUCACUUAGAACCUAAUAGCACACUUUUCGUCAACAAGCGUAUAGAUAUUGUAUCAUAUAUCUGUUGCAUAAAUGGUGCAGGAUGAGUUGCACACCAAAGUUUAUUACUUAAGGUUAGGGCUUUGUUUAAAUUUCUACCUUUAACCUUCAGAGUGAGAAACGCAGAGUAGCAGAGAGCAGCAAUGCUUGGCAUCCAGCAGACAAAAGGGUGGGACUGGCAGGAAAAACAGCGAUGAGUAAAGCUCAUGUUCUCCUUUAUGAGCCCCUCAUCUAACGACCGCACUCGAUUACAGCAAGGCUCAUAGUUGAGGAACUUUUUACAGGAUUACUGCCAGUUUCCUCCAGCACACACACACACACACACACACACACACACACACACACUGCUGGAUGCUGGAGCGUCUCUGUGAAAGCGGAGUGGGCUGAGGCUAUAAUGAACGGUAUGAAGGGAUGAUGUUGAAGACUGGCUGAGCUCGUCAGGGGUAAACAGUGGGGAGUUUCCUUCAGAUUCUACGAUCUGCUCUUCUGGUUUGUCUCUGUUAGGCAGUCCGUUCUGCUUUGAUCCCAGAGAAGCUAAAAGAGGCUAUAAAAAGCCCAAAAACCUCGGCGGACUCCACGACUGUCCUGCUGGCAUGGAUAUUCCAGAAGAGUGAGGAACAUUAAGACUGGAGAAUUACUGGAGAGUUUGUGAGGCUUAUGGAUUCCACGUCACGCCAGACUGCACUUUAUUUUGAAAGAAUUUGAUGCAGUCUGGUCGACCCGUCCUUGUUUAAUGUGGCAUCAACCCUUUACACUUCCUCCCCCACAUAUUUUAAAGCAAAUUACUUAAUUUAGAGAUAUAAGAAACAUCUGAUAGAGAGAAAAGCCAAAUGGAGGACAUCAUAGGAAAUGGAUUUUCAUAAAACAUCCUUUAAAGGCAUUUUAAAAUUUUCACAUGAUUACACAAGACUAAUGAUUUCUGAAAAUGAUUUAAUCAUGUUCGCACUACUUGGGUGGAAACUAAAUGCAUAAAUAAAGGGUUGCAUGCUAAACUGUGAAACCUGAUCAGCCCACAUGACUGUGAUUCAAAAUGCAUGCACUGCUACACUUAUUACAAAACAGCCAUGUUUUUCCUGACAUGUACCAUGGUAAUAUUUUGGUAUUCUGUAAAGUACCUCAGAGUACCAUGCAAAUAUUUUUUUAUGCUAUGUCAGUAUGGUGUUACCAUCAGAGAACAUCAUUAUCCUCUGUUACAGUUUUUUUAUAUAUUAGAUAUACUACUUCAGAUAACAAUCUUUUCCUC
ensembl:lncRNA